rfam:Schistosoma mansoni strain Puerto Rico chromosome 4, complete genome
GUCCAGCCGAUGAGUUCGAAAUAGGAUGAAACGCACGUCCUGAAU